GACAGAGGGUGCAAACGUUGCUCGGAAUCACUGGGCAUAAAGCGCACGUAGGCGGUCGGCUAAGUCCGAUGUGAAAUCCCCCGGCUCAACCGGGGAACUGCAUCGGAUACUGGCUGACUUGAGAGUUGUAGGGGUGGACGGAACUCCAGGUGGAGCGGUGAAAUGCGUAGAUAUCUGGAGGAACACCGGAGGCGAAAGCGGUCCACUGGGCAGUCUCUGACGCUGAGGUGCGAAAGCUAGGGUAGCAAACGGG
rnacentral:rRNA from 1 species